rnacentral:rRNA from 1 species
AUGCAGUUAGGCAGCCUGUGUCGUCAAGGAGCAGUAUCCCACAUGGUGAGACUGUACCAGGUCACUUUGGGAGAUGGUGAAGCACAGGAUGCCACUUCGGAAUGCAUUCAAGCUGUUCUGGAUCAGUAUCAGGAUGUUUUUGGAGAGCCGAAAGGACUUCCCCCAAAGUGCAGUUGUGAUCAUCAUAUACCAUUGAUGCCAGGAGCACAGCCUGUGACCAUUCUGCCGUAUCGGCACAAACCUGAGCAUAAGACAGAAAUUGAGCAGCAAGUGGCAGAGCUACUCAGGCAAGGGAUCAUUAGGCGCAGUGCCAGCCCAUUCGCAUCGCUAGUCAUCUUGGUAAAGAAGAAGGAUGGAACAUGGCGUCUCUGCAUUGACUAUUGUCAGCUCAAUGCGAGGACCACAGUACCCAAAUUUCCAGUCCCAGUUAUUGAAGAGUUGCUCGAUGAACUCCACGGUGCAGUUUGGUUCUCCAAACAUGAUCUUCGAGCAGGUUACUACCAGAUCAGGAUAGCUGAGGGGGAUGAAUAUAAGACUGCCUUCCAGACUCACUCAGGGCAUUUUGAAUUCCUGGUGCUUUCUAUGGGAUUAGCAGGGGGCCAUCCACCUUCAAUGGUGCAAUGA